UACGAAGGGGGCUAGCGUUGCUCGGAAUCACUGGGCGUAAAGGGUGCGUAGGCGGCUAAUUAAGUCAGCGGUGAAAUUCCAGAGCUCAACUCUGUGAACUGCCAUUGAUACUGGUUGGCUUGAGUACAGAUGAGGUAGGCGGAAUUGACAGUGUAGCGGUGAAAUGCUUAGAUAUUGUCAAGAACACCUAUUGCGAAGGCAGCUUACUAAACUGUAACUGACGCUGAGGCACGAAAGCGUGGGGAUCAAACAGG
rnacentral:rRNA from 1 species